GAUGAACGCUAGCGGCAGGCUUAACACAUGCAAGUCGAGGGGUAGAGGAAGCUUGCUUCCUUGAGACCGGCGCACGGGUGCGUAACGCGUAUGCAAUCUACCUUGUACAGGGGGAUAGCCCAGAGAAAUUUGGAUUAAUACCCCAUAGUGUAAUGAAUAGGCAUCUAUUUAUUACUAAAGUUCCAACGGUACAAGAUGAG
rnacentral:rRNA from 1 species